rnacentral:rRNA from 1 species
CAGCACCUCAAGUGGUCAGGAUGAUUAUUGGGCCUAAAGCAUCCGUAGCCGGCGCUGUAAGUUUUCGGUUAAAUCUGUACGCUCAACGUACAGGCUGCCGGGAAUACUGCAGCGCUAGGGAGUGGGAGAGGUAGACGGUACUCGGUAGGAAGGGGUAAAAUCCUUUGAUCUAUUGAUGACCACCUGUGGCGAAGGCGGUCUACCAGAACACGUCCGACGGUGAGGGAUGCAAGCUGGGGGAGCCAACCGGAUUAGAUACCCGAGUAGUCC